UGGCCAAGGAUGAUAACUCUAACCUCACUGGAUACACUGCCAUGAUGGGUUCAAGGAUUUACCUGAGGCCA